rnacentral:rRNA from 1 species
UGCAUGAAGUCGGAAUUGCUAGUAAUCGCGGAUCAGCAUGCCGCGGUGAAUACGUUCCCGGGCCUUGUACACACCGCCCGUCACACCAUGGGAGCCGGUAAUACCCGAAGUCAGUAGUCCAACCUCGUGAGGACGCUGCCGAAGGUAGGAUUGGCGACUGGGGUGAAGUCGUAACAAGGUAAC